rnacentral:rRNA from 1 species
UACAGAGGUCCCAAGCGUUGUUCGGAUUCACUGGGCGUAAAGGGUGCGUAGGUGGUGAGGUAAGUCGGAUGUGAAAGCUCCGAGCUCAACUCGGAAAUGGCAUUGGAAACUACCUUGCUCGAGGGUUUGAGGGGGGACUGGAAUACUUGGUGUAGCAGUGAAAUGCGUAGAUAUCAAGUAGAACACCAGUGGCGAAGGCGAGUCCCUGGAAAAUUCCUGACACUGAGGCACGAAAGCUAGGGGAGCAAACAGG